rnacentral:lncRNA from 1 species
GGGGCCGGGACUUGGGGCCAGGCAUGACCCCUGCCUUCCUGGGCCAAGAUACUCAGGUGCAUGGGUCAAGCCAGCAAAUCAAGUGGGUCUGGAGGAGAAGGCCAUAGGCCAAGGUCACAGCAUGGAGGCAGAGGUCAGCCCCAGGCCAGGGAGGCACAGAGUCUAGGGGGCUGGGGACAGUCAGGGCAGGGGCCAGCACGGUCAGGCCAGGAGGCGAAAGGUCAGGCGUGGGCGGCAUCACGAGGGUGUGCACAGGUGCCUCAGGCCAGGCAUUUAAGCGUGCCCCGGGCAGGGUGAGACCUGGACCCAGGUGAGCAUACAGGCAGGGUCAGAGAAGGCCUGGUGCCUGGAAAGCAUGCCUCCUCCAUGCCCUUCUGCCAAGCUUUCCUGCCUUGGAGCCAGCAGACCCAGGACUGAAAUGUGAGCCAAAAUAGCUCUCUCAUCCCUCAAGUUGUGGGAGUCACAUAUUGGGUCCCAGCAACAAGGGAAAUAACUAUGACAAGGAGCUUCAGCCCUGGUGGAAAAGAUCUGGCACCACAUGGAACUGGCUCUUCCCCAAAGUCGAAAUGACGGUGGGAGAGAAUGAUUCAGGACAUGCAGGCAGCCGUGAAGGUGCCACUAAAGACCCACACGAAAGAGGACUUCCUGAGCUGCUGCAGAACCUGGCAAGAAUGAUAGUAUGAGAGUGUGUGAAUUGAGGAGUAUUUUUAGGAGGAUUAAUGGCAAUGUGUCUUUUACCCUAAUAAAUUUUUUUUGUCCCUAACACAUUUUUUUUAAAAUUUAAAUAGUCAC